AUACGUAGGGGGCGAGCGUUGUCCGGAAUGAUUGGGCGUAAAGGGCGCGUAGGCGGCCCGGUAAGUCUGGAGUGAAAGUCCUGUUUUUAAGAUGGGAAUUGCUUUGGAUACUGUCGGGCUUGAGUGCAGGAGAGGUAAGUGGAAUUCCCAGUGUAGCGGUGAAAUGCGUAGAGAUUGGGAGGAACACCAGUGGCGAAGGCGACGUACUGGACUGUAACUGACGCUGAGGCGCGAAAGUGUGGGGAGCAAACAGGAUUAGAUACCCUGGUAGUCCACACUGUAAACGAUGAAUGCUAGGUGUAGGGGGUAUCGACCCCUUCUGUGCCGCAGUCAACACAAUAAGCAUUCCGCCUGGGGAGUACGGCCGCAAGGUUGAAACUCAAAUGAAUUGACGGGG
rnacentral:rRNA from 1 species